ACUUACAGGACCUGCCGCUGACGUCUCGGUGCAGAUACCACAAAUACCCUUGAGAGGACUAGUGAAGGCAGCGUCUCGAUGGCUACAAUGGUCCUGCACAAUAUCAGGCAGGCGGUUUUAUUGCUUUAGCUGAUCGGUGUGUGUAACUAAUAUCAGCCGCUCCCGUUGUAUCGCUGCCGCGGUUAUAUAAGCGUCUUAAGAGUAUUAGCCAUUAGCAAUUCAUCGUUUUCCCAAAGAAGAUGACACAGAUCACAGGCGGACUGCUCUUUACACGGCUACGUCAAACUUUGUGAGAAAGUGAAAAUCUGGAGCCGUACUGCGACAUUUGUUCAUGGGAGAUGCAGAAAAAAAAACAUUCAUAGGUUUCCUAGUUUCCCAUAGAAUAGGCGACUUACAAAGGAAUCACCGACUAAAUGGCGAGCCUACAAGACGACUAUUAUUCCGAGCGUUGGGUCGCAGCAUGCUGCAAAGAGAAGGAGCUGAAUGAAUUUCUAUAGAGGCUCCAAAGUUUCAGACUCACCUGGAAAUCAAUUUUUCGAGGGGCUAACAAACAGGAUAAUUUCUAGGCUUCGUGUCAAGAGCAUAAAGAACCCAGCAUGCCUCCCAACAAACCCACAAAAGACAGCAUAAACAGUAUGAAAAGAA